AGAGUUUGAUCCUGGCUCAGGACGAACGCUGGCGGCGUGCUUAACACAUGCAAGUCGAACGAGAGCGUAGAGAAAGCUUGCUUUUUCUACAAUCUAGUGGCAAACGGGUGAGUAACGCGUAAACAACCUGCCCUACGGAUGGGGACAACAGCUGGAAACGGCUGCUAAUACCGAAUACGUUCCGAAAGUCGCAUGACUAUCGGAAGAAAGGAUGGCCUCUAUUUAUAAGCUAUCGCCGGAGGAGGGGUUUGCGUCUGAUUAGCUAGUUGGAGGGGUAACGGCCCACCAAGGCGACGAUCAGUAGCCGGUCUGAGAGGAUGAACGGCCACAUUGGAACUGAGACACGGUCCAGACUCCUACGGGAGGCAGCAGUGGGGAAUCUUCCGCAAUGGGCGAAAGCCUGACGGAGCAACGCCGCGUGAGUGAAGAAGGAUUUCGGUUCGUAAAGCUCUGUUGUUAGGGAAGAAUGAUUGUGUAGUAACUAUACACAGUAGAGACGGUACCUAACCAGAAAGCCACGGCUAACUACGUGCCAGCAGCCGCGGUAAUACGUAGGUGGCAAGCGUUGUCCGGAAUUAUUGGGCGUAAAGCGCGCGCAGGCGGCUUAUCCAGUCUGUCUUAAAAGUUCGGGGCUCAACCCCGUGAUGGGAUGGAAACUAGAAGGCUAGAGUAUCGGAGAGGAAAGCGGAAUUCCUAGUGUAGCGGUGAAAUGCGUAGAUAUUAGGAGGAACACCAGUGGCGAAAGCGGCUUUCUGGACGAAAACUGACGCUGAGGCGCGAAAGCCAGGGGAGCGAACGGGAUUAGAUACCCCGGUAGUCCUGGCCGUAAACGAUGGGUACUAGGUGUAGGAGGUAUCGACCCCUUCUGUGCCGGAGUUAACGCAAUAAGUACCCCGCCUGGGGAGUACGACCGCAAGGUUGAAACUCAAAGGAAUUGACGGGGGCCCGCACAAGCGGUGGAGUAUGUGGUUUAAUUCGACGCAACGCGAAGAACCUUACCAGGUCUUGACAUUGAUCGCGAUCUGCAGAAAUGCGGAGUUCUUCUUCGGAAGACGAGAAAACAGGUGGUGCACGGCUGUCGUCAGCUCGUGUCGUGAGAUGUUGGGUUAAGUCCCGCAACGAGCGCAA
rnacentral:rRNA from 1 species